GGGAAAAGGGAAAGAAAGGCAAAAAAGGGCCAAAGGGGGAGAAAGGAGAACAGGGUGCCCCUGGAUUAGAUGCACCUUGCCCAUUGGGCCCAGAUGGAUUGCCGAUGCCAGGAUGUUGGCAGAAGUGAUGAAUCUAACACGAAAGCAUGAAGAUAGAGGCCUCGCAGCCUACUUCAUUGUACUUUGCUUGAACGUGAUGUAGGCAAAAAAUGAAGCAACCGUACAUUUUUUAAUGCAAAGACCAAGUCCUGAUAUAGUUGCCAAAAUCAUAUUGCUGCUUUAGUUGAGCACGGUUUAUAUUUUGAUCUGCGCUGAGCAUAAAUUAUGUAUCUUUUAUGUAUAAAAUGUCAGUUACAUUUUAUUUUCUAACUUUAACCAUUCCGCAUGUUCCUCAAAGUGUUUUGUUGUAAAAUGCACAGUUGUGACAGUGGUCCAUCAAACCAGCAUUUUUUUAAGUGUCAAAUGAAGGGAAUAUUUUAUGCAAGCUUUCUUAUUUUAAAUAUAUAUAUUUAUAUAUAUUUGGUUAUUGUCCUGUUCAAAGCCUCAAAUGCACGAUUGAACUGCAGUUAAUUAACAUUAUUAUGUUUUUUUCAGGUUUUCCUAAACUAAAUGUACAUCAUCACACUGCUCCAUCACUGAACUUACAUUUCAAACUAAUUAGCUCAGCAAAAAAACACUUGAAAUGUUUCUAGUGCAAAUGUUUUGUUUUGUUUUGGUUUUGUUUUUAUUUAAAUUCUAAUGCAUGGAAUCAUUUUGCUGCCUGUGUACUCACUGCAGAAUGGUGUGAAUUUACCAGAACAUCAGCUCUUGGCACAGUUUCACUAGCAAUGGCCAAGUUGUUCCUGUGUGAUUUUGUGGAAUAUCCCCCCUCUGUUCCAAAAGCAUUUGGCGCAGCAGCAGACUUACUGACCCAAUGAGAAGCACUGGCUUCCAGGUCUCGUCCUUGCACAAUAAUGCAUGCAGUUCUCUUUUGAUGUAUUACAUUAUUUACUCCAGCAAGGCAGGAUCAUAAAAAUUUUAAUCUUUGAAGGCAAAAAAAUCACGCAUAGAUUGAGAGGAAUCGGUCUUCUGUUGUGCUAUUCUUGCUUUUCACUUCUCUGAUUUCUAUCGAGCAUUUUCCAGUUUGAUAAUCACACAUGAGCUGAGAGGUUCUCCAGUGCCCGAUUUCGUAGAGUCAUAGAUUAGUGAGGCUAUUCAGCCCAUUGACUGUUAAAACAGCAAAACUAUCCUAUCCUUUUUUCUUUGUCUAUUUUUACUCUGAAGAUGUUACUUUGUAUUCUGAGAAAUGCCAUUUUUAAUGUCACACUGUAUGCCAUUUGAUUUGCUUUGAUUUUAGGCUAAGGGGUCAACUUAAUUAAUACUAAACUAAAGGAAACCCAUUCUUGUCAGUUAAUAACGUCCUAUUAAACAAUUAAAUUAUUGUUACUGCCCGAAUGGUCGGGUUGGAUGUAAUUACUGCUGAGUGUACCAUCAAAGCAAAGGCAUAGCAUUGCAAAGGGCCAUUGCGUUGACAGCAAUAUGACAGAUCCAAAUUCAUAAAUUCAGAAAGAUCUGCACACGGUACAGAGGGAUCAUAUCCCAACACUCUUCCUGUUCCUUCCUGCUGAUUGACAAGUUAUGCAUUUUAUUGUACCUGUGCUGACAAUUAUUGCCUCUGACUGUUUAUGAAAACUAUACACUAUGAACAUUAAAUGAUAAAUAUUAUUUGG